rnacentral:rRNA from 1 species
GAGUUUGAUCGUGGCUCAGAUUGAACGCUGGCGGCAUGCCUUACACAUGCAAGUCGAACGGCAGCACGGGAGCUUGCUCCUGGUGGCGAGUGGCGAACGGGUGAGUAAUGCCUGGGAAUCUGCCUGGUAGUGGGGGACAACGUUUCGAAAGGACGCUAAUACCGCAUACGUCCUACGGGAGAAAGCAGGGGACCUUCGGGCCUUGCGCUAUCAGAUGAGCCUAGGUCGGAUUAGCUAGUUGGUGGGGUAAUGGCUCACCAAGGCGACGAUCCGUAACUGGUCUGAGAGGAUGAUCAGUCACACUGGAACUGAGACACGGUCCAGACUCCUACGGGAGGCAGCAGUGGGGAAUAUUGGACAAUGGGCGAAAGCCUGAGUCCAGCCAUGCCGCGUGUGUGAAGAAGGUCUUCGGAUUGUAAAGC